UACAGAGGGUGCAAGCGUUGUUCGGAAUUAUUGGGCGUAAAGCGCACGUAGGCGGUUUGUUGCGUCGGCUGUGAAAUCCCGAGGCUCAACCUCGGGUCUGCAGUCGAUACGAGCAAACUAGAGUGUUGCAGGGGAGACUGGAAUUCCUGGUGUAGCGGUGAAAUGCGCAGAUAUCAGGAGGAACACCGGUGGCGAAGGCGGGUCUCUGGGCAAGCAAC
rnacentral:rRNA from 1 species